GAGUUUGAUCUUGGCUCAGGAUUAAUGCUGGCGGCGUGCCUAAUCUAUGCAAGUCUAGGGUUUUGUUUACAAACCCCUGGCAGACGAGUGAGUAAUAUGUAGGAAUCUACCCUUAACACAACCAUAACCUAUCGAAAGGUAGGGAUAAUAGUUGAUAGUCCAGUUUACUUGGUGAAGCUUCGGCGGUUAAGGACGAGCCUGCAUCCCAUCAGAUUGUUGGUAAGGUAAAAGACUUACCAAGUCUAUAACGGGUAGGGGGCGGUGAAAGCGCGUACCCCCACCGAUGGCACUGAGAUACGGGCCGAUACAUCUACGGAUGGCAGCAAGUAGGAAUAUUGCGCAAU
rnacentral:rRNA from 1 species